UGCCUUACUUCAUUCAUUCAAUCUAGAAAUCUAAUCGUUUCUUCUCUUCGUUUUAUUUCACCAAGUGAAAGAACUAUUUGGAUCUUCUGACAGGAUAAUGUCAAAGAAAUGAGGAAAGUGGUGUAAGUGUUCGGUUUGUUCAAUUAGGUUGAUGAAAUCAAUAAAAUAAAUGAAUUGACAACGACGUAUUUGACAAGCAGAUGAAAAUCCAUAAGGAAAUUUUUAGAGAUCUGGAGAGCUCAAAGCGCCUGGGGAGAAUCCUACUUGAUGAGUCAUCACGUGUACCGAGAGUCUCUAUUUCAUCAGUCUGCUCUUCUCCAAAAGAAUGCCUUUCUGUUCUAUUGGGUCUACUGAGAAUUCCGACUCUUCACAUCCACGUGUUAGAGUAUCGCUGGAAUCACUGACCACCAUUUCUAUACUCGUCCUUGUCGAACCAUCAGCUGUGAUACCAUAUUUAAACCAUCGGUUUUGAUUACAUAUCUAACCAAAAACUUUAAGACAAUAGGUCUAUUGAUCCUUUCCACUUAUAUGUCUUUUACUCAUCCCAUCUUUUCCGAUGUGGGAAUUCCACACUUGUAUAUUUCCAACAGUUUUGUAUGUGAUAACUUUCAAUUGAGGGAUCAAUAGUAAAAAGGUUGACAAGUAGGGGAUGUCUAAAAGUUUUUUUCCAAAAAUGUUUGAUGACUUGAAAUCUCAUGUUCAAGUUCUUGUAAUGUUGGGGAUUCAAAGGACACUGGUAGCAUGGGCUUAUAGUUAGGGAAUAGAUGGAUUGCUAAUUCUUGAAUUUAGGAUCCACUAUUGUUCAGCCUCAUGGCUUAUCUUAAUUAUAAUUUAGAUUGGAUUUCCAAAAUGUUCUCUUACUUUACCUUUGUCUUUUGGCAGGGAGGAUUUGUUG
rnacentral:misc_RNA from 1 species